rnacentral:rRNA from 1 species
AGGACGAACGCUGGCGGCGUGCCUAACACAUGCAAGUCGAGCGGAGAUGUACUGAAGAUUUAUCGGAUGUACAUCUUAGCGGCGGACGGGUGAGUAACGCGUGGGCAACCUGCCUUUCACUGGGGGAUAACACAGGGAAACCUGUGCUAAUACCGCAUGACAUCACGUAGGGCAUCCUAUGUGAUCAAAGGAGAGAUCCGGUGGAAGAUGGGCCCGCGUCCAAUUAGCUGGUUGGUGAGGUAAAGGCUCACCAAGGCGACGAUUGGUAGCCGAACUGAGAGGUUGAUCGGCCACAUUGGGACUGAGACACGGCCCAGACUCCUACGGGAGGCAGCAGUGGGGAAUAUUGCGCAAUGGGGGGAACCCUGACGCAGCAACGCCGCGUGAAGGAAGAAGGUCUUCGGAUUGUAAACUUCUUUGAUGAGGGACGAAUAAAGUGACGGUACCUCAAAAACAAGCCACGGCUAACUACGUG